rnacentral:tRNA from 1 species
GAGGGUAUAGCUCACUGGUAGAGCACAUGCUUAGCAUGCACAAGGUCUUGGGCUUAAUCCCCAGUACCUCCA